UCCAGUUUAUCACCGGCAGUCCCCCUAGAGUGCCCACCAUGACGUGAUGGCAACUAAGGGUAAAGGUUGCGCUCGUUGCGGGACUUAACCCAACACUUCACAGCACGAGCUGACGACAGCCAUGCAGCACCUGUGUAAUCGUCCCUUGCGGGAACACCUGCUUUCACAGAUUAGCAACUACAUGUCAAGCCUGGGUAAGGUUCUUCGCGUAGCCUCGAAUUAAACCACAUGCUCCACCGCUUGUGCGGGUCCCCGUCAAUUUCUUUGAGUUUCAGCCUUGCGGCCGUACUCCCCAGGUGGUGGAUUUAAUGCGUUAGCGUCGGCGCCGGGGGGAUCGACACCCCCGAUACCUAAUCCACAUCGUUUACGGCAAGGACUAC
rnacentral:misc_RNA from 1 species